rnacentral:tRNA from 1 species
ACUUAAAUAGUUUAAUAAAAACAUUGAUUUGUGGAAUCAAAAAUAUAUAAUAUAUUUUAAGUU